rnacentral:rRNA from 1 species
GACGUAGGUGGCGAACGUUAUCCGGAAUUACUGGGCGUAAAGCGUGCGUAGGUGGUUUGUUAAGUCUGCUGUGAAAGCCCCGGGCUCAACCUGGGAAUGGCAGUGGAUACUGGCAAGCUGGAGUGCGGUAGAGGGUAGUGGAAUUCCCGGUGUAGCGGUGAAAUGCGUAGAGAUCGGGAGGAACACCAGUGGCGAAGGCGGCUACCUGGACCAGCACUGACACUGAGGCACGAAAGCGUGGGGAGCAAACAGG